rnacentral:misc_RNA from 1 species
GGUUGUCCCAGUUGGGAACAAGGGGAAUGACUUUGAUGAUGAUGAUGACAUUUUGGGUAGUAAUGAGUCAGGAACAGCUGAAAAACCCAAUUCAUUUGCCAAGACAUUGACUCAAUCAGAUGCAAAUAAUGGUGGUGGAUUCUCUGUGCCUAGAUACUGUGCAGAGACAAUAUUUCCUAGGUUGGAUUACACGGCUGACCCGCCUGUGCAGACCGUGACAGCCAAAGAUGUUCAUGGUGAAAGUUGGAAGUUUAGGCACAUUUAUAGAGGUACUCCCAGGAGGCAUUUGUUAACGACUGGUUGGAGUAGUUUUGUGAAUCAGAAGAAACU